rnacentral:lncRNA from 1 species
CCAGCAAUGGAACAAAGCUGGACAGAGAAUGACUUUGAUGAGUUGAGAGAAGAAGGCUUCAGACGAUCGAACUACUCCGAGCUACAGGAGGAAAUUCGAACCAACGGCAAAGAAGUUAAAAGCUUUGAAAGAAAAUUAGAUGAAUGGCUAACUAGAAUAACCAAUGCAGAGAAGUUUUUAAAGGACCUGAUGGAGCUGAAAACCAAGGCAUGAGAGCUACGUGAUGAAUGCAGAAGCCUCAGUAGCUGAUGCGAUCAACUGGAAGAAAGGGUAUCAGCGAUGGAAGAUGAAAUGAAUGAAAUGAAGCGAGAAGAGAAGUUUAAAGAAAAAAAAAUGAACAAAGCCUCCAAGAAAUAUGGCACUAUGUGAAAAGACCAAAUCUAUGUCUGAUUGGUGUACCUGAAAGUGACGGGGAGAAUGGAACCAAGUUGGAAAACACUCUGCAGGAUAUUAUCCAGGAGAACUUCCCCAAUCUAGCAAGGCAGGCCAACAUUCAAAUUCGGGAAAUACAGACAAUGCCACAAAGAUACUCCUCGAGAAGAGCAACUCCAAGACACAUAAUUCUCAGAUUCACCAAAGUUGAAAUGAAGGAAAAAAUGUUAAGGGCAGCCAGAGAGAAAGGUCGGGUUGCCCACAAAGGGAAACCCAUCAGACUAACAGUGGAUCUCUCAGCAGAAACUCUACAAGCCAGAAGAGAGUGGGGACUAAUAUUCAACAUUCUUAAAGAAAAGAAUUUUCAACCCAGAAUCCACAUAGUUGGAAGUAAAGCACUC